ensembl:lncRNA
GAAGGCUGUGAGGAAGCCACAUGCUGUUUUUCAUCUCCCAGCAUUGUACCCUUACUCCUCCUCUUUAUAUUGAAGUAACACAGUGAAACAUGCUGUGUGUAUCUGGGGGAGGAGAGGAAAACAGAGAAGUUGCAACUAUGGGGAUGGAUUUGGAGCAAUCCAGAUUUCAUUUGCCCCCUUUCCACAAGAAGGUUAUGGAAGCUGUGCUCCUGACCCAUUUGUUCUUCCAUUACGCUGUAAUGUUUGGAAAAAUACACAGCAGGAUUUAUGGAAAGUGCUUCAAAGCCUAAUUUUCCUCUCCAAAUCUCCAGCAGGUAUCUCUCCGAGCUCCGCUUCACAUGAAUCUCUCUCUGUUGUGCUCAGGCCUUGGAAUCACCCAAGGUCACUACUGCAAAACACAGCGUGCCCUGAGGACCUCCCCAGCCUUUCUGCACAGGUGUGAGCUGGCUCAUGAUGAUGACAGUAUCCACUGAGGACCAGAAAGCUAUAAACAGUACUAUAAACUCAAAGAUGUGUGUAUAGCACCAGAGGUAAAGCAUUCCCAUACUGACGUGGAAUCUAAUUCCAGCCAAUGAUUUGUAACAAUCAUGAACUUAACCUGGAAGGAGACAGGAAAGCAGUCAUGUGAGGUAAAUGGGCUUUGUCUCCCCAGAGCCUUCUCUCUUGAAAUGAUUUCCUCAUUAAUGCACUCCUUCCUAAAUUCUACUUUAGCUCUCAUUUGCAUUUUUGAGUUCUUAAGGCUGUUUUCAGAUGUACUGUAUACACGCCAAAGGCCAUGUAAAUGCAGGCUCUACUCUGAGCUCAGUGAACUUCAGCCAAUUUAUUCUAGUUGAGUAACUGUCCAGGUGAAUCCAGAUUUCUUUACUCAUUUUUCAGCAGAAUAAACUGUAAUCAGCCUCUCUGUAAAUAUGCAUCUUAUGUACCCAAUAUUAACUAGAUCUAAUCAGCUUAAUUAUGUGGUUAAUAAUAAUUCAAGUUCAUGCAGCAUAAUCUUCUAUUUAAAGUGGGUACAAUAUUUUACAGUAUCUGAAAAAUGGCUUGGCUUAAUAAACAGAUGGAAGAAAAAUAUCUUUAAAAAGAGAAUUAAAGGACAACUCUUGAAUGCAGAUUUCAGCAUUACCCAAAGAACAUUCGCACACAAAUCCUUCUUCCAGAGAAGUGCUGCACAACAGGCGUUCACCAACAAAAGGAUUUCCAAUACUAUUUGAAAUCCUGUUCUGGCUUCUACAGUGCAAAUCUGUCUCCUCAUCUGCAGGAGAGCUCAAAAACAGUACAGUUGUGUUCUACUGUGCAAGUGCCAACCCUACGGCAGUGCCAAUUCUGUACUGUAUAAACCGUUUUGUAUCUCUAUUUCUACCUGCUAUCUCUUUUGCCUCACUGGUACAAACAAAUGUUGUUUUGGUGCAAGGCAGUGCAGAAUGAGUCUGGAUGCAUUGGCAUACUUCUGAGUUCACUUCCUGAACCGUAUUAAUAUCUAAUAAUUAAAAACCGUUUUCAAAUACUUAAAAUUCAUGUUUCACUAAAGAUGGUUAUACCCAACACCCAUAUUUUGACCACUUUUGGUUUAUAAUUAUCCUUUUCUAAUUCUUCCAUAUUUACUUAUUGUAACUCUAUAUAUCAUAUACAGCAUUUAAUGCUAUAUUUUAAACUGCAGACAGCAAAUCAAAAUGCUUCAGCUCUGUUUUUCAUGGUUCAGACAUGUCUGAAAUAUAAUGAGAGCAGGGAUUUGUCUGCCCUGAUUUAAUUACUACAAUCCAGAUAACUCUGUCAAUCAAUUUUUCUCCUUGUGACUCCUGGCAGGGUGAAAAAUGCCUUCAUUAUAAGGACUGAUCAUUAGUGGAUGUGAAGUUGAGAAGAUGAUGAAGAUGAGUUGUUGGGUCUGGCAGAGAAUUGACCCAUCAGUGUCAUUAAGUGAACUGCGGCAAGCCCAGCAAUUCCCAUGGGGCAAAUCAUUGAAUUCCUCAGGAGCAAAGGUCUGUGUCUGUCUAUACCAAAGCACUUUGAAAUGUACACACAUGCAGUUUGCAGUAGUCUGAUGGAUAACUAAACAAUUACACAGGCAGUAACUGAUUUGUCCUUCUCUUUUCAUGAAAGAAACAACCUUUAAGGUACUGUGUUUUAGUUUCCUUUCUAUGUGACGGUUUAAAUAACGUUUAUAUCCACUGCCCUUUCAACUCUGUAUUACCAAAGUUAGCUCCAAGCUGCAUCCACCUCCCAACACACAAAAGCUCUGUAUUAAAAAUGUUAAUUGCAAUUCUGAGUUCUUUUCCUUCUAAAUACUGAACGACAAGACCGGCUCUCUGAGCUCUAAGGAAUUUGUAAUCAAUGUUUUUCACAUAGCUGUAAAAACACCUUCCUGUAGAGCAGCCUCAGUGACAAGCAACUGAAUGAAAAACGAGCACUGUAUGUUCAAUGUUUUUUUCUAAACUAUGCUUUAAUUGCAAACGGUAAUUUUACGUAAUUGACCUAUUAAUCAUAAAAUAAAAUUUUAAAAAGGAGGAAAAUUGUUACAAACCAAAAUAUUGCUAGGAGAGCAGUACUCACACAGAGAACAUUCUGUUGGAAUCAAAGGCAUAUGCAGGGGACCAUAAUACGGAGGCAGGGAUGCUGUGCAGGUUACUGUCAUUGUGCUGCUUUUAGAGUAAGUUGUAGAGGACACCGUGUGGGGACUCAGGGCUAUGUGCUAUAAGCCCCCAGGCACCGCAGUCUGACCUCUCCAGCUUUCAGGCUGCAGAGUCGGGCAGUUCUUGCAGUGCCCAUUUCAGCUCCUGUGCUAAUUCUUCCCUGGUGGACUACAAACAUUUACUGAGAAGAUUUAAUUGUGAGGUCUUUGGUUGCUAGCACAUGAUUCAAACUUCAGAUUGAAGGCAAUUUAAACACACAAGUGUGCAAGCAGGGAGAUGCAAAGCAUGCAAGCAACCUUUGGCAGGAGUACAGAGAGAAUACAG